rnacentral:rRNA from 1 species
UACGUAGGUCCCGAGCGUUAUCCGGAAUUAUUGGGCGUAAAGGGUGCGCAGGUGGUUAUGUAAGUCUGGUGUGAAAUUUUUGGGCUCAACCCAAAAAGGUCAUCGGAAACUGGGGAACUUGAGUGCAGAAGAGAAGAGCGGAAUUCCACGUGUAGCGGUGAAAUGCGUAGAGAUGUGGAGGAACACCAGUGGCGAAGGCGGCUCUUUGGUCUGUAACUGACGCUGAGGCGCGAAAGCGUGGGGAUCAAACAGG